AGAGCGUUACGAUGGUGGGGAAACCCUAGUCUAGCUUGAAUGCGGGAAACCCUCGCG
rnacentral:ncRNA from 2 species